GACGAACGCUGGCGGCGUGCCUAAUACAUGCAAGUAGAACGCAGUUGCGAACGGGUGAGUAACGCGUAGGUAACUGCCUCAUAGCGGGGGAUAACUAUUGGAAACGAUAGCUAAUACCGCAUACUGUGAGAUGGACCUGCGUUGGAUUCGCUAGUUGGUGAGGUAAAGGCUCACCAAGGCGACGAUACAUAGCCGACCUGAGAGGGUGAUCGGCAACACUGGGACUGAGACGCGGCCCAGACUCCUGCGGGAGGCAGCAGGAGGGAAGCUUGGGCAAUUGAUGGAAGUCUUACCAAGCUACGCCGCGUGAGUGAGGAAGAUUUUCGGAUCGUAAAGCUCCGUUGUUAGAGAAGCGGUAACAGACCAGGAAGGGACGGCUAACUACGUGCCAGCAGCCGCAGUAAUUC
rnacentral:rRNA from 1 species